GGGCUGCAUGCUAACCAAUCAGAUGUGUUUGAUACAUCGGAUUAUUAAAACAAUCAAAUGCGUAUACUGCCCAAGUGAGAAGUAGUCGUAUACAGUGGUUGGUCAGUGUUGGAAGUCAAAUUUUGUCCUCUCUAUACACAAUGUCAAUGUAACGAGAAGCUACUAUACAGUUGAGUGUACGGUGCCACUCAAGAAAGAAAUUGACGACGUGUUAAGAUUUAACUUACAAAAUACACAUGUAAAAAAUUGCAUCUCAUUUUAAUCGUAAUACUUUACAACAAUUCAGCAGGCUUAUAGUUACAGUCCACUUUCGUAGUAAUUACGACAAUUCAACAAUCAACAGGUUUACCUAGUACUUUGAAGAACUUGAAAUACAGUCACAAUUCGACCAAAUUGAGUAUUCGUAUUACAAUACUAUUUUAUAUAAAAAAUAUUCACAUAUUCACAUCGGUCUGUGGCUUCGGUUGCGCGGUUUGUUCUUCACAAAACACGUAUCUUCUACUUAACUGCAUGCAGAUACAACAAUUAAUUUCUUUUAAUAUUACGUAUACACUAGCUGCUCUAUAGUGCACAAAUUCUUAUGAAACAAUACUUAUUUCAAUUUCUAUUUCUCAACUCAAAUUACAUUAUUCUGACACUUUCGUGAACAUUUUACUCAAUAUUAUAAUAAUAAAUAAUCCACUGUAUCAAAUUCAAGGUUUUUUUUACUUGGGCGGCGUUUUUCAUUAUCUUAAACAACAAACUUAAUUCCUGCCAUUUAACUUUUAUAUUCAAUUUUUAAACUUCAUCUUUGUAAAGUUUUGCUCAACACUUUUUAUUGAUUAUUGUACUUUUUCAUUUUUUCAUUUUUUAGCGUCCCUUUGUAUUUUUCAAUUAUUUUAUACAUCGAUUGCUACACUUGUAUUUGUUUAACUUAUUAUUCUUCGCUCACUUUUCUUUUUAAUAAAUUCAAUUCAUUUAACUUUGUUAACCCAUUCGGUUCAUCUUUAAGACAAUUUGUCUUGAUUGGGAACGUCCCGUAUUUAUUUUAACACAUGCAUGCUCACAUGCAUAUCCGUUUAUUUUAACAUUUUGUAACCUUUACUUUAACUUAAGUUCGAGGUUGUUUUGUUGACGUUAUCAAUAAAUAUUACUCGUAAUUUAUCAACUUGUCAUCGACAUCGUAAUGCGAUUGUCACAUCUUCACUGAAAAACUUUCGAUUGGUACUUAUUUUUGGACAUCAAUUGCCAUUUGUAUUUGCCAAUCAUUAUAUCAAUAUUUAACAUCAUCAAUUGUCAUUUUUAUCUUCUGUUUAAAGUUUUGCACUUUUUCGUUUUUGCGUACUUUAAUACUAUAUAUACUUGUUACGUUUUGUACACUUAUCAUUUAUUUAUCUCGUGCAUUGUUUAGGUUUCUUCAUGUAUAAUUUUAAUUUCAAAACAUUUUAACUUACUGUACAUUGAAACCAUUGUUAGCGCAUAACAUUUUUAGUCAGUAAAAUGCGUUUUACUUCUCAACUCGACUAAUCUUCCGUCGUUUAAUUCGACCGUUUUAUUCUUCUUUUCUUAAUUAUUAUAGUUCCGUUUAAUUUUUAAUUCUUUCUGGCACCAUACCAAACACUAGCUAGAUCAGCUUCUAGCUUUAAUUUUGUUUUAAUUAAACAACAUCUUUCUUGAAAAAAUAAUUCAUGUUUAAGAAUGUGUGUCCGAUCCUCCCUUCUUAAUUUUUUUUUUUUUUUUUUAAUUUUUCUUUUUUCUUCAAAUCAAUUAUUCACUAAUCUAAUUCCUACUUACUUUUCUCACUAAUCUAAUUUGCUCUCUCUUCCCCUAUACUAUCCUCCUUUACUCAUUAAUCUAAUUUGGGUUAAAUGUUCGGUCACACGAGGCGGAAAAGUCGCAUGGACUAGUCACGGGAACUUGCUGCCUGAAAAAGGUCGCACGGUACGUCAUUUCCAGGCGACAACUAGUCGCGGACACUGGUUUCUGUCCCCGCGACGAGAUUUUCGUAUAUGUCGCACGAUGAAAUUUGUUUCCGCAACAAAUCCCCGCGACGUGACCCUGCAACUUGUCGCCUCAUGUGACUGAACCUUAAAGAUGGCUCCGUUCGGUUUCUACAAAAUACAUAGUAGUAUACUCUUGAAUUAAUUUUUUUAGUUAAAUAAUAUCAAUUAAUCAAAAUGCUUUGUUGAAUGUGCCUAAAUAAUAUUAGUUAAUUGAAAGUGCCUUAUAGAAUUUUCAGUAAAUAAUAUCAAGUAAUCACGAUAAGGAAUAAACAUUCAAUGAAAUUUCCAGCAAAACCCAAUGACAUAAUCUACACAUUAAGAGAAACC